rnacentral:rRNA from 1 species
GACGAACGCUGUCGGCGUGCUUAACACAUGCAAGUCGAACGGAAAGGCCCUGCUUUUGUGGGGUGCUCGAGUGGCGAACGGGUGAGUAACACGUGAGUAACCUGCCCUUGACUUUGGGAUAACUUCAGGAAACUGGGGCUAAUACCGGAUAGGAGCUCCUGCUGCAUGGUGGGGGUUGGAAAGUUUCGGCGGUUGGGGAUGGACUCGCGGCUUAUCAGCUUGUUGGUGGGGUAGUGGCUUACCAAGGCUUUGACGGGUAGCCGGCCUGAGAGGGUGACCGGCCACAUUGGGACUGAGAUACGGCCCAGACUCCUACGGGAGGCAGCAGUGGGGAAUAUUGCACAAUGGGCGGAAGCCUGAUGCAGCAACGCCGCGUGCGGGAUGACGGCCUCCGGGUUGUAAACCGCUUUCGCCUGUGACGAAGCGUGAGUGACGGUAAUGGGUAAAGAAGCACCGGCUAACUACGUGCCAGCAGCCGCGGUGAUACGUAGGGUGCGAGCGUUGUCCGGAUUUAUUGGGCGUAAAGGGCUCGUAGGUGGUUGAUCGCGUCGGAAGUGUAAUCUUGGGGCUUAACCCUGAGCGUGCUUUCGAUACGGGUUGACUUGAGGAAGGUAGGGGAGAAUGGAAUUCCUGGUGGAGCGGUGGAAUGCGCAGAUAUCAGGAGGAACACCAGUGGCGAAGGCGGUUCUCUGGGCCUUUCCUGACGCUGAGGAGCGAAAGCGUGGGGAGCGAACAGGCUUAGAUACCCUGGUAGUCCACGCUGUAAACGGUGGGUACUAGGUGUGGGGUCCAUUCCACGGGUUCCGUGCCGUAGCUAACGCUUUAAGUACCCCGCCUGGGGAGUACGGCCGCAAGGCUAAAACUCAAAGGAAUUGACGGGGCCCCGCACAAGCGGCGGAGCAUGCGGAUUAAUUCGAUGCAACGCGUAGAACCUUACCUGGGUUUGACAUGGAUCGGGAGUGCUCAGAGAUGGGUGUGCCUCUUUUGGGGUCGGUUCACAGGUGGUGCAUGGCUGUCGUCAGCUCGUGUCGUGAGAUGUUGGGUUAAGUCCCGCAACGAGCGCAACCCUUGUUCACUGUUGCCAGCACGUUAUGGUGGGGACUCAGUGGAGACCGCCGGGGUCAACUCGGAGGAAGGUGGGGAUGACGUCAAGUCAUCAUGCCCCUUAUGUCCAGGGCCUCACGCAUGCUACAAUGGCUGGUACAGAGAGUGGCGAGCCUGUGAGGGUGAGCGAAUCUCGGAAAGCCGGUCUCAGUUCGGAUUGGGGUCUGCAACUCGACCUCAUGAAGUCGGAGUCGCUAGUAAUCGCAGAUCAGCAACGCUGCGGUGAAUACGUUCCCGGG